rnacentral:rRNA from 1 species
AAGCUCGUAGUUGAAUUUCGGGGUUCUACCGUUGGUCGGGCUAACAAGUCUGUACUAGCGUGUAGAAUCUCUACCUUCUGGGGAACCAUCAUGUUAUUAAUUUAGCGUGGUGGGAAACCAGGACCUUCACCUUGAAAAAAUUAGAGUGUUCAAAGCAGGCUUACGUCUGAAUACAUUAGCAUGGAAUAAUAAAAUAGGACGGUGGUCCUGUUUUGUUGGUUUCUGAAUCACCGUAAUGAUUAAUAGGGAUAGUUGGG